rnacentral:rRNA from 1 species
UGGGGAAUAUUGGACAAUGGGCGGAAGCCUGAUCCAGCCAUGCCGCGUGUGUGAAGAAGGCCUUUUGGUUGUAAAGCACUUUAAGUGAGGAGGAGGCUACUUGGAUUAAUACUCUAGGAUAGUGGACGUUACUCGCAGAAUAAGCACCGGCUAACUCUGUGCCAGCAGCCGCGGUAAUACAGAGGGUGCGAGCGUUAAUCGGAUUUACUGGGCGUAAAGCGUGCGUAGGCGGCUUCUUAAGUCGGAUGUGAAAUCCCUGAGCUUAACUUAGGAAUUGCAGUCGAUACUGGGAAGCUAGAGUAUGGGAGAGGAUGGUAGAAUUCCAGGUGUAGCGGUGAAAUGCGUAGAGAUCUGGAGGAAUACCGAUGGCGAAGGCAGCCAUCUGGCCUAAUACUGACGCUGAGGUACGAAAGCAUGGGGAGCAAACAGG